UAGAGUUUGGAUCAUGGCUCAGAUUGAACGCUGGCGGCAGGCCUAACACAUGCAAGUCGAGCGGUAGAAAGUAGCUUGCUACUUUUGAGAGCGGCGGACGGGUGAGUAACGCGUGGGAAUCUACCUGGUAGUGGGGGACAACUUGGGGAAACUCAAGCUAAUACCGCAUACGCCCUACGGGGGAAAGGAGGGGCUCUUCGGACCUUUCGCUAUCAGAUGAGCCUGCGUAGGAUUAGCUAGUUGGUAGGGUAAAGGCCUACCAAGGCGACGAUCCUUAGCUGGUCUGAGAGGAUGAUCAGCCACACUGGGACUGAGACACGGCCCAGACUCCUACGGGAGGCAGCAGUGGGGAAUAUUGGACAAUGGGGGCAACCCUGAUCCAGCCAUGCCGCGUGUGUGAAGAAGGCCUUCGGGUUGUAAAGCACUUUCAGUGGUGAGGAAGGGUGUAAAGUUAAUACCUUUAUACAUUGACCGUAGCCACAGAGAGACCCG
rnacentral:rRNA from 1 species